GACGAACGCUGGCGGCGUGCUUAACACAUGCAAGUCGAACGGAAAGGCCCUGCUUUUGUGGGGUGCUCGAGUGGCGAACGGGUGAGUAACACGUGAGUAACCUGCCCUUGACUUUGGGAUAACUUCAGGAAACUGGGGCUAAUACCGGAUAGGAGCUCCUGCUGCAUGGUGGGGGUUGGAAAGUUUCGGCGGUUGGGGAUGGACUCGCGGCUUAUCAGCUUGUUGGUGGGGUAGUGGCUUACCAAGGUUUUGACGGGUAGCCGGCCUGAGAGGGGGACCGGCCACAUUGGGACUGAGAUACGGCCCAGACUCCUACGGGAGGCAGCAGUGGGGAAUAUUGCACAAUGGGCGGAAGCCUGAUGCAGCAACGCCGCGUGCGGGAUGACGGCUUUCGGGUUGUAAACCGCUUUCGCCUGUGACGAAGCGUGAGUGACGGUAAUGGGUAAAGAAGCACCGGCUAACUACGUG
rnacentral:rRNA from 1 species